rnacentral:rRNA from 1 species
CGCUGGCGGCGUGCCUAAUACAUGCAAGUCGAGCGAAUCGAUGGGAGCUUGCUCCCUGAGAUUAGCGGCGGACGGGUGAGUAACACGUGGGCAACCUGCCUAUAAGACUGGGAUAACUUCGGGAAACCGGAGCUAAUACCGGAUACGUUCUUUUCUCGCAUGAGAGAAGAUGGAAAGACGGUUUACGCUGUCACUUAUAGAUGGGCCCGCGGCGCAUUAGCUAGUUGGUGAGGUAAUGGCUCACCAAGGCGACGAUGCGUAGCCGACCUGAGAGGGUGAUCGGCCACACUGGGACUGAGACACGGCCCAGACUCCUACGGGAGGCAGCAGUAGGGAAUCUUCCGCAAUGGACGAAAGUCUGACGGAGCAACGCCGCGUGAACGAAGAAGGCCUUCGGGUCGUAAAGUUCUGUUGUUAGGGAAGAACAAGUACCAGAGUAACUGCUGGUACCUUGACGGUACCUAACCAGAAAGCCACGGCUAACUACGUGCCAGCAGCCGCGGUAAUACGUAGGUGGCAAGCGUUGUCCGGAAUUAUUGGGCGUAAAGCGCGCGCAGGUGGUUCCUUAAGUCUGAUGUGAAAGCCCACGGCUCAACCGUGGAGGGUCAUUGGAAACUGGGGAACUUGAGUGCAGAAGAGGAAAGUGGAAUUCCAAGUGUAGCGGUGAAAUGCGUAGAGAUUUGGAGGAACACCAGUGGCGAAGGCGACUUUCUGGUCUGUAACUGACACUGAGGCGCGAAAGCGUGGGGAGCAAACAGGAUUAGAUACCCUGGUAGUCCACGCCGUAAACGAUGAGUGCUAAGUGUUAGAGGGUUUCCGCCCUUUAGUGCUGCAGCUAACGCAUUAAGCACUCCGCCUGGGGAGUACGGCCGCAAGGCUGAAACUCAAAGGAAUUGACGGGGGCCCGCACAAGCGGUGGAGCAUGUGGUUAAUUUCGAAGCAACGCGAAGAACCUUACCAGGUCUUGACAUCCUCUGACAACCCUAGAGAUAGGGCUUUCCCCUUCGGGGGACAGAGUGACAGGUGGUGCAUGGUUGUCGUCAGCUCGUGUCGUGAGAUGUUGGGUUAAGUC